rnacentral:rRNA from 1 species
GGAAGGGUUGUAUUUAUUAGAUAAAGAACCAAUGAGCUUGGUGAUUCAUAAUAACUUUACGGAUCGCAUCUCUGAUGCGACAUAUCAUUCAAGUUUCUGACCUAUCAGCUUUAGACGGUAGGGUAUUGGCCUACCGUGGCUAUGACGGGUAACGGGGAAUUAGGGUUCGAUUCCGGAGAGGGAGCCUGAGAAACGGCUACCACAUCUAAGGAAGGCAGCAGGCGCGCAAAUUACCCAAUCCUGACACAGGGAGGUAGUAACAAGAAAUAACAAUACAGGGCCUAACGGUCUUGUAAUUGGAAUGAGUGAAGUAUAAACCCCUCUACGAGUAUCAAUUGGAGGGCAAGUCUGGUGCCAGCAGCCGCGGUAAUUCCAGCUCCAAUAGCGUAUAUUAAAGUUGUUGCAGUUAAAAAGCUCGUAGUUGGAUUUCUGUUGUAUAAUUUAUAAUAUUACCAAGGUAAUUAUUAUAUUAUCAUCAUCCUUCCUAUUAUAUUCUAAAUAUAUAGGAAAUUUUACUUUGAGAAAAUUAGAGUGCUUAAAGCAGGCAACUGCCUUGAAUACUCCAGCAUGGAAUAAUAAGUAAGGACUUUUGUCUUUCUUAUUGGUUCUAGGACAAAAGUAAUGGUUAAUAGGGACAGUUGGGGGCAUUCGUAUUUAACAGCCAGAGGUGAAAUUCUUAGAUUUGUUAAAGACGAACUACUGCGAAAGCAUUUGCCAAGGAUGUUUUCAUUAAUCAAGAACGAAAGUUAGGGGAUCGAAGACGAUCAGAUACCGUCGUAGUCUUAACCAUAAACUAUGCCGACUAGAGAUUGGAGGUUGUUCCUUACUCCUU